rnacentral:rRNA from 1 species
GGCGACCGGCGCACGGGUGAGUAACACGUAUCCAACCUGCCGAUGACUCGGGGAUAGCCUUUCGAAAGAAAGAUUAAUACCCGAUGGCAUAGUUCUUCCGCAUGGUAGAACUAUUAAAGAAUUUCGGUCAUCGAUGGGGAUGCGUUCCAUUAGGUUGUUGGCGGGGUAACGGCCCACCAAGCCUUCGAUGGAUAGGGGUUCUGAGAGGAAGGUCCCCCACAUUGGAACUGAGACACGGUCCAAACUCCUACGGGAGGCAGCAGUGAGGAAUAUUGGUCAAUGGACGAGAGUCUGAACCAGCCAAGUAGCGUGAAGGAUGACUGCCCUAUGGGUUGUAAACUUCUUUUAUACGGGAAUAAAGUGAGGCACGUGUGCCUUUUUGUAUGUACCGUAUGAAUAAGGAUCGGCUAACUCUGUGCCAGCAGCCGCGGUAAUACGGAGGAUCCGAGCGUUAUCCGGAUUUAUUGGGUUUAAAGGGAGCGUAGGCGGACGCUUAAGUCAGUUGUGAAAGUUUGCGGCUCAACCGUAAAAUUGCAGUUGAUACUGGGUGUCUUGAGUACAGUAGAGGCAGGCGGAAUUCGUGGUGUAGCGGUGAAAUGCUUAGAUAUCACGAAGAACUCCGAUUGCGAAGGCAGCCUGCUGGACUGUAACUGACGCUGAUGCUCGAAAGUGUGGGUAUCAAACAGGAUUAGAUACCCUGGUAGUCCACACAGUAAACGAUGAAUACUCGCUGUUUGC